CAGUAGCCACGGUAAUACGAAGGGGGCUAGCGUUGCUCGGAAUUACUGGGCGUAAAGGGCGCGUAGGCGGACAGUUCAGUCGGGGGUGAAAGCCCGGGGCUCAACCUCGGAAUUGCCUUCGAUACUGGCUGUCUUGAGUAUGAGAGAGGUGUGUGGAACUCCGAGUGUAGAGGUGAAAUUCGUAGAUAUUCGGAAGAACACCAGUGGCGAAGGCGACACACUGGCUCAUUACUGACGCUGAGGCGCGAAAGCGUGGGGAGCAAACAGGAUUAGAUAUCCCUGUAGUCCCUGUCUCUUAUAC
rnacentral:rRNA from 1 species